UAAACAUCAAAUAUAAAAAACAAAAUUAUUUUCGUACAUAAGGUUUAGUAGACGUACUAUACCAAAUUUGAAUAGCCAAUUUGAAUAUAUCAAAAUAUAUUCAAUAAAGACCGUCUCCUAUAAAAUUGGGUUUUUGUCGCUUACGUCAUUUUCGCUGGUGGGUCUCGAUAUGAUGUCCAAAAGUGUAUUAGUGGAUGGUCGGUCAUCGCGGGUGGUGAAUGAACAUACUGACGACUUUACAACCAUAUUAGGUGUGAUGGCUUCAAGGGCUUAGAAGACUUUUCAACCAAAAUAGGUGUGAUGGAUUCAAGGGCCGUGCGUUGUCGAUAGCAGCACUCAUUUGAUGCCAAAACUCCAUUCAUAGUUUACGGUCGGCAAAAAAAAAAAUGUCCAAAUAGACUGCCGUGUCGUGACCAGCAAUGUUUGCUAAGCUAUGUGUGACUAGAAAUGUGAAGGAUGAAAUGUUACGCUUAUAGAUUCAUUACGCUAAAGGAUUCCACAAAAUGAUAAUAAAAUUAUUUCUUAAUAAACCCAUCCCUCGCCAAACCCGUAA